CUUCUGUGAAAAUUUUUCACAUUCAUUUAAAAUGUCAUCUAAAGGCAAAUUGUUCUUAAGGAAACUUUCGUUUCUCAUGACUUCCCUUAUUUUUAUAGUUCCAUGUAUUUCAACAGAUUUUUUUCAUAUUCUAUGAACAUUAAUGGCCAAAUAACACUUCUGUUGUUUAGCUAGUUAUGUAGCAAAAUACGGUUGUGCCAAAAAAAUAACUUAAAUCUGGUACUGCUUUGAUCGUUUAAUAGAUACGUCACUAUUACUCCUUAUCGUGAUGUGUUUGUGCCAACCUGGUUUUGCCUUUAGGUUGGCAUAAACAAAGCCCUCAAUGAACUUUCUGUGCCUUUGGGACAGUUACGAGAAGUUCUGAGUCUCAGGUCACCAGUCAGUGAAGGAAUUCGGGCAGUAGAUAAACGAAUGUGUAAACAAGAGGACAUAAGGAAGAAAAAGAUGUGUGUGUUGAGGCUUAUACAAGUUAUUUGAUCAGUUGAAAAGAUUGAAAAAAUCUUAAAUUCACAAAGUUCUAAAGAAACCUCUGCACUAGAAGGAAGCAGGUUCGUCCACACUUAGCAGACAGUCUGCAUGCGGCCCUUCUGCAGCCCGUGUGUCUCCAGCGGCUCUGCUUCGCUGCGGCCCUUGGCAGCGCCUGCAGCCCCUCCAGCCAUGUCCACGUUCGGCCCCUGGGGCGCUGGCCCUCCAGUGUUCUUCCUGUCUUUGCUGUUGCUGCUGUGCUCCUCGGAUAGAAACACCUCAGUGAGCUCUGUGUCUACAAUCCUGUCCCUUUGCAGCACUGUCCUUGAUAAACAGACAUUGUGCGCUUUCUUGCUCAGAAUUACCUUGGAGGACUUUUUUCUCCCGAAGAGCAGCUCUGAGCUCUAGAGUCAGGAAAGCCAGAGUAGCGUCAGCGCAUGGUAAAUCCAUCAUGCUCUGCCAGGCCCAGAAAUGCCGAGAAAGGGAUAAAUAGGAAAUGUGCAUGGGAUCAGUCAGUAGAGGUUGGGAUUAGGCUUCGGCACUGUUAGUGCCAAGCACUUGCCUUCCCUCCACACCAGUUCUGAUGCUCUGGGACGGGGCACACCGUGGCAGGUCUCCAGAGAUUUUGGGUUUCCUUACAGUGUGUUUCCUCACUACCUGACUGCCCAUCCUCAGAUGUGGGAUGCCUCAUAGAGCCCAGCAGGGGCUUUGGGGCCUUUGUUGUGUUUUUUUUUUCUUUCACUGUUCGACUUCCUUUUGAAUGGGGUUGACACUUUCUAAUGUGGGGGGCAAGAGGGAAGUGUAUCCAGUCCACUUGAUGGCAGAUGCACUGUGAGUGAUUUCUCACCAGCUCCCGGAGCACCGAGCUUACUCUUUCUGCCGUUGGGUAAAUUUAAACUUGGAGUCCGCUGCUCUGAGCGAUUUCCCAGGUUGCUGCUAGGCGGUCAGUUUUAGCUGAUUGAGGAGACAGCGGUAGUUGGUACUGGGGAGGUACUUGGGAGGGAGAAUGAGGCAGGCGGAGAAGAAGAGGGGGCUUCGGGUAUGAACGGUAGGACAGGGCAAGAGAGAGGAGGGGGUUAGAGAAUGGGAGAAGAAGGGCACGAAUGGGAGAGCCCGAGGAACGUGGUGGAAACAUGCAGUUGUACCCACACUGACCUAAAAUAGCUCCAUCCCCUUGCCUGGGCCCUGUGGCCCAGGCCAGGCUGCGUCGGUGGCUUCUAUGACCUCCCUGCUCCUCACCCCUUGCACUGGGGCCUGCUGCACAGACAGUUUGUCAUGAAAAUUGAUGGCAUGCAGGUGCAGGUGCCUGAGCUCUGUAAGGCAUGGGGGGCGGUGGGGGUGGCAGGUUUUAACUUUGGGAAUUACAUUUCUCUAAUUGUCUCUACUAGCCCUCUCUGGACUAGACAGAUUUUGGAGAGAAUUGCCACAGAAUUUAACCAGUUACAGUUUCAUGCUGUUCAGAGCAAAGGCAUGCCUCUUCGGGACAAAGUAAGACCAGCAAGUGUUGGUUUCGAUUUUCAAUUUGCUGUUUGCGAAUUUCCUGGAUGAUUUUGGUUUGACCUAGCAUUGUCCCUGAUAGUUGCUACUCUACAGGAUUUUGAAGCUAGCUUUGAAUUUUUUUUUUUUUUCAGUGUCUCCUGCUUGGGACCCUGCUUUCAUUAUGUCACACUAGAUAGAUUUUGUGUAAAGACACAAGCAUAGUCUCCAAACUAUGCAAGUAAAAUUAAUUCUGAAUUUCAUGUAACUUGACACAUCAUAUGAUGUAGUCAGAGUUCAUUUAUCCAAAGCCCUUGACUGGGAUUAAAUGCACGUUUGUCAGAUUUACUCCGUAGCUUAAGAGGCAAAUAACUUUUUGUCGUUCAGUAAUUAUCUGAACUUCACUUUGAUGAAGCCGACUUACUUUCAAAGAAAUCAUAGGGAGGGGACGCCUCAGUGGCUCAGUCAGUUAAGCCACUGCCUCUGGCUUAGGUCAUGAUCCCAGGGUCCUGGGAUUGAGUCCCACCUUGGGCUCCUUGCUUGGCAGGAAGCCUGCUUCUCUUUCUGCCUGUGCCUACUUGUGUGCUUGUGCUCUCUCUCGACAAAUAAAUAAAUAAAAACCUUUAAAAAAAAAAAGAAAGAAAGAAAGCAAUCAUGGGGAGAAGAGAUUCAUUGUUUUUCUCUAGGAAAUGUUGGGAUUUUAAUCUUACAUAUAUUCUGGUAGAAUUAGAGGCUCGAUUUAUAUAUAUAACACAUAUGUAUAUAAAUUAUACACAUAUAUUGGAGCUUUUAGAAACUGUUGUGCCUGGACCUUCUUUCCUGGUCUCUCUGUUCUUGCAGCGUAUAGCCCACAUUACGGCCAUGCUGCAGCAGUCCCUGGGAGGCCUGUUGCUAGAAGGGCUUCAGACUUCCAAUGUGGACAUCAUACGGCACUGCCUCCGGACUUAAGCUACAUUUGACAAGACACGGGAUGCAGAGGCGUUCGUUGGUCAAGUACUGGUGAAACCGUACAUGGAUGAGGUGAUUGUAGAGCAGAUUGUUGAGUCUCAUCCGGACGGCCUGAAGAUCAUGUAUGCUAAUAAGCUCCUGGAGUUCGUUCCUCACCACUGCCGCCUUCUUCGAGAGGUCACAGGAGGAGCCAUCUCAAGGAAGAAGAGAUUAGGACACAGACAGUACAGACUGAAGGACAAUCGUUUGAAGACAGAGUGGAGAACACAGCUCUCUGCAAGCCAAGGAGAGACGUUUGAGGAAUCGAACCCUACUGCCACCUUGAUCUUGGACUUCCAGCGCCCAGAACCAUGAGAAAAUAAACUGCAUGUUGCCUAAGCCACCCGACUGUUGAUAUUUUGUUUA